AGCAGCCGCGGUAAUUCCAGCUCCAAUAGCGUAUAUUAAAGUUGUUGCAGUUAAAAAGCUCGUAGUUGAAUUUUAGGCCUGGCCGGGCGGUCCGUCUUUGGCGAGUACUGUUCUGUGUCGGGUCUUACCUUCUGGUGAACCGGCAUGUUCUUUAUUGAGUGUACCGGGGAGCCAGGACCAUUACCUUGAAAAAAUUAGAGUGUUUAAAGCAGGCAUUUGCUUGAAUAGAUUAGCAUGGAAUAAUAGAAUAGGACGUUGGUUCUAUUUUGUUGGUCUAGGACCACCGUAAUGAUUAAUAGGGAUAGUUGGGGGCAUUAGUAUUCAAUUGUCAGAGGUGAAAUUCUUGGAUUUAUUGAAGACUAACUAUUGCGAAAGCAUUUGCCAAGGAUGUUUUCAUUAAUCAAGAACGAAAGUUAGGGGAUCGAAGACGAUCAGAUACCGUCGUAGUCUUAACCAUAAACUAUGCCGACUAGGAAUCGGGCGACGUUAUUUUUAUGACUCG
rnacentral:rRNA from 1 species